rnacentral:rRNA from 1 species
UGGGGAAUAUUGCGCAAUGGGCGAAAGCCUGACGCAGCGACGCCGCGUGAGGGACGAAGGCCUUCGGGUUGUAAACCUCUUUCAGCAGGGAAGAAGCGAAAGUGACGGUACCUGCAGAAGAAGCACCGGCUAACUACGUGCCAGCAGCCGCGGUAAUACGUAGGGUGCAAGCGUUGUCCGGAAUUAUUGGGCGUAAAGAGCUCGUAGGCGGUCUGUCGCGUCUGCUGUGAAAACCCAGGGCUCAACCCUGGGCCUGCAGUGGGUACGGGCAGACUAGAGUGCGGUAGGGGAGACUGGAAUUCCUGGUGUAGCGGUGAAAUGCGCAGAUAUCAGGAGGAACACCGGUGGCGAAGGCGGGUCUCUGGGCCGUAACUGACGCUGAGGAGCGAAAGCGUGGGGAGCGAACA